rnacentral:tRNA from 1 species
GCCUGAGUGGCUCAGUCGAUUAAGCAUCUGAUUUUGGCUCAGAUCAUGAUCUCAUGGUUUGUGGGUUCAAGCCCCGCAUCAGGCU